rnacentral:rRNA from 1 species
ACGAACGCUGGCGGCGCGCCUAACACAUGCAAGUCGAACGGGAUCAAGAGGAGCUUGCUUUUCUUGAUUUAGUGGCGAACGGGUGAGUAACGCGUGAGUAACCUGCCCUGGAGUGGGGGACAACAGUUGGAAACGACUGCUAAUACCGCAUAAGCCCACGGUGCCGCAUGGCACUGCGGGAAAAGGAUUUAUUCGCUCUAGGAUGGACUCGCGUCCAAUUAGCUAGUUGGUGAGGUAACGGCCCACCAAGGCGACGAUUGGUAGCCGGACUGAGAGGUUGAACGGCCACAUUGGGACUGAGACACGGCCCAGACUCCUACGGGAGGCAGCAGUGGGGGAUAUUGCACAAUGGGGGAAACCCUGAUGCAGCGACGCCGCGUGGAGGAAGAAGGUUUUCGGAUUGUAAACUCCUGUCGUUAGGGACGAUAAUGACGGUACCUAACAAGAAAGCACCGGCUAACUACGUGCCAGCAGCCGCGGUAAAACGUAGGGUGCAAGCGUUGUCCGGAAUUACUGGGUGUAAAGGGAGCGCAGGCGGACCGGCAAGUUGGAAGUGAAAACCAUGGGCUCAACCCGUGAAUUGCUUUCAAAACUGCUGGCCUUGAGUAGUGCAGAGGUAGGUGGAAUUCCCGGUGUAGCGGUGGAAUGCGUAGAUAUCGGGAGGAACACCAGUGGCGAAGGCGACCUACUGGGCACCAACUGACGCUGAGGCUCGAAAGCAUGGGUAGCAAACAGGUUUAGAUACCCAGGUAGUCCAUGCCGUAAACGAUGAUUACUAGGUGUUGGAGGAUUGACCCCUUCAGUGCCGCAGUUAACACAAUAAGUAAUCCACCUGGGGAGUACGACCGCAAGGUUGAAACUCAAAGGAAUUGACGGGGGCCCGCACAAGCAGUGGAGUAUGUGGUUUAAUUCGAAGCAACGCGAAGAACCUUACCAGGUCUUGACAUCCGAUGCAUAGUGCAGAGAUGCAUGAAGUCCUUCGGGACAUCGAGACAGGUGGUGCAUGGUUGUCGUCAGCUCGUGUCGUGAGAUGUUGGGUUAAGUCCCGCAACGAGCGCAACCCUUAUUGCCAGUUACUACGUAAGAGGACUCUGGCGAGACUGCCGUUGACAAAACGGAGGAAGGUGGGGACGACGUCAAAUCAUCAUGCCCCUUAUGUCCUGGGCUACACACGUAAUACAAUGGCGGUCAACAGAGGGAUGCAAAGCCGUAAGGUGGAGCGAACCCCUAAAAGCCGUCCCAGUUCAGAUUGUGGGCUGCAACCCGCCCACAUGAAGUCGGAAUCGCUAGUAAUCGCGGAUCAGCAUGCCGCGGUGAAUACGUUCCCGGGCCUUGUACACACCGCCCGUCACACCAUGAGAGUCGGGAACACCCGAAGUCCGUAGCCUAACCUUUUAGGAGGGCGCGGCCGAAGGUGGGCUCGAUAAUUGGGGUG